GUCGCGAUGGCCGAGUGGUUAAGGCGUUAGACUAGAAAUCUAAUGUGGUCUCCCCGCGCAUGUUCAAAUCCUGCUCGCGACG
rnacentral:tRNA from 1 species